UGUUUUGUUAAAGGCAGCAAAGUCAUCGCCCCAAGGAAUGGAUCAAUAACUAUGAGCGUGAUGCAGAACACUAAGGACGCAAUUCCGUUCGAGGGAAGGCAGACGAUGGCGCUCGGAAGAAAAUGUCAUUUGACCUUUUUUGGCAGUGCAUUGGAGUGUCACGUGAUGAACAAGUUAUUAGAGGAUGCAGCAAUUAAUGCCUGUGAAGAUGCUAUGCUUCAUGUUGCAAAGCUGGCUCGAUCCCUUGAGUAACUCCCAUAUCUGUGGAUUUCGUUCUUACAAGGACAAGCAGCUUCAGAGAAAUACGUCAUUAGCAGCUGCAUCUGCAUGAUAGCUACUGGCUGUAGAGAUUUUAUACUCUGUCAAGAUUAAUAGGACAAUUGAUCCUGUUUCAAGUCACAUCACCUUGAUGCUGUUCUCAACCACCUAAUAAGGUAUAUGUGAAGAAGUGGCAAUGUAUAGGCAAAUAGUUUGACUCUGCAGGCUGUGGUAUGCCGUGUUCCCCAUGCCAUGUUAUCCAGGAUGCAGCAUACCUUCUACCGCAACUCUUCUCCUAGAGGCAAACUUCACCUGCCGAUUUCAGCCUGCCCACACAGUGAAAAUCUACCCUCUCUGUCAUCUCCUUCAUCCUGUCAACUGCAAGCUCAUCCUUUGCCAGGUGAACACUCUUUUCUGCAAGCUGGACUUCACUAGUCCUUACUCUGCCUCAAAAUUGGGCACCAAUGCACUUUAGGAGACUGGUGCCAUUUUCAUGAAAUGUUUUUCUUAGUACAAUUAUGUUAUUUCCAGGAGGCACACCAACAAUUCCUUUUUCUGCCAUCAUUGUGACACAAACUAUGAAUUUGAAAGCAGCUCAUAUUGUGUUUCCUUAUGGUGAUGUCCACACUCCCAGACUAGUGGAAUCUUCCCUGAUAAACCUUUUUUCCUGCUUCCCUCAUGCAAAAUGUUACUUCUUCCUCUCCCUCUUGUAUACCUUCCUUUCUUCCACCUCUUCAGACCUUGAAGAUGAAGGACUUCAAAACUGCUUUCUUGUCUUUCAGAAAAUUGUGUUUGUGCAUAAUCUUUUACACUGUUGUAUCAACAAGGUAGAUUGUUUUGUCAUUCAACAAAGAUUCUCUUCAUGGAGUGCUGUGCAGGGAGGGCAAAUGUGAAUCACUUGCACUAUUUUCUACUGCGUUAUUCCAUUGUAAAUACACACCUCAUUAACCAUAUCAUUGUAUUUGAAUAUCUAAAUCCUUUGCAUCAAAUGCUUAUUGGUUGUAAAACCUUGCUAUCUCCCUAUCAUUACUGAAGAAUGAGUACACAGGUAAUGACCAUGCAUCUAAUAGACCAUCCUUUUAUUGGGCAUUUGGUCCAAGUGAUUCACUCCUGCUCUCUCUGGGUAUAAAUUAUCUGUGUCAGUGCUCACCUGCUUCAUUCCAUUAUAUAUGUACACAUCUUUUUUAUAUACAUGUUAUAUUGAAGAAGUACUUAAAUAAUAAAAUAUGCUUCA